AUUGAACGCUGGCGGCAUGCUUUACACAUGCAAGUCGAACGGCAGCGCGGGCUUCGGCCUGGCGGCGAGUGGCGAACGGGUGAGUAAUGCAUCGGAACGUGCCCAGUAGUGGGGGAUAGCCCGGCGAAAGCCGGAUUAAUACCGCAUACGACCUGAGGGUGAAAGCGGGGGACCGAAAGGCCUCGCGCUAUUGGAGCGGCCGAUGUCGGAUUAGCUAGUUGGUGGGGUAAAGGCUUACCAAGGCGACGAUCCGUAGCUGGUCUGAGAGGACGACCAGCCACACUGGGACUGAGACCCGGCCCAGACUCCUACGGGAGGCCGCAGUGGGGAAUUUUGGACAAUGGGGGCAACCCUGAUCCAGCCAUGCCGCGUGCGGGAAGAAGGCCUUCGGGUUGUAAACCGCUUUUGUUCGGGAAGAAAUCCUCUGGGCUAAUACCCCGGGGGGAUGACGGUACCGGAAGAAUAAGCACCGGCUAACUACGUG
rnacentral:rRNA from 1 species